CCCUCAGAAGGGGUUCUUCGAAGAGGUGUUGGGAGUCCCGCGUCGAAAGGGGACCCGGGGGUCACGUGACGGGCCAAGAUGGCGGUCUCUGGUGAAGGUGCAGACUUGGAGGCUUCAUUGCUGAGCUUUGAAAAGUUGGACCGGGCAUCACCAGACCUAUGGCCAGAACAAUUACCAGGUGUUGCUGAAUUUGCAGCUUCUUUUAAAAGUCCUAUCACCAGUUCUCCUCCCAAAUGGAUGGCUGAAUUAGAAAAUGAUGAUAUUGACAUGUUAAAAGAGUUGGGCAGUCUCACGACAGCUAAUCUAAUGGAAAAAGUACGAGGUUUACAGAAUCUGGCGUAUCAGUUGGGGCUGGAUGAAUACACUCCUGCGAUGUAGGUGGGACUGAGAUCAGGACCUCUCCAGACAAUCUUAAUCACAAUGGUUGAUAGAAGGAGAUUCAUCCUGACAGCAAGAGAAAUGACACGAGGAAAAUUCCUCAACAUCCUGGAGAAGCCCAAAAAAUAGCAGAUAUGGAAAUAAGUACGCCUGACAACCACCAUUUCCAUGGACACUGAAGUGGAAAGACCAGUGCUCCACCAUAAGCGACUGGAUGUUUUCUGGACUAUUGCCUCUGCUCUGAUGAGAAACAAGGAUACGGCCAGUUUCCUAAGCAACACCAAGUUCUUCCCAUCUACAUUUGUUGGGGGUUAACAGAAUUUUAUGCAAGAAUUUUAUCAGAAUACAAUUAAAAACAGUUGUAUGUGUGUGUAAUGUUAUGAUAUAGAUCCGUGUCCAAGAACAAUGUGUUAAGUUUCUUUGGGGCACAACUUUGUAUUUGAAAGUAUCUUGCUGAAAUACCUUGCUGUAUUUCUGAACAGUAUAACUCUGUUUGAAAUCUGCUUACUUUUGAUUUUCUUCUAACUAACCUAAGGACAGGGUAAUUUUCUUUUAUACUUUUACAUGUUGGCAUUGUGUAUAGUAAGAGUGUCACCCUCCAGAUGUUAAACUGCAGCUCCCACUAUCCUUGACCAUUGACAAAGCUGGCUAAGGCUGCUGGGACUUGAAGUCCUACAACAUAGAUUCAUGGGGCCACUUAUCAACACAGAUUUUGUGUUUUGCUUUAUUGUUUCUUUUUCUAUAUAGUUCUAGACAGUCAUGCUAUGCAUAUGCUACAGUGGGAAAUGGAAAGUGUGCCUUACUGAAUGAUAAGAAAACACUCCUGUGCCAUAUAUUCAGCGUUGUAUAUUUGUUCUGCUGUAUAUUUUGUUUGGAUCACACUUAAAUGCAAAAUCUUAUAUUUUUUCAUGACAGCUCCCCCAAACAGACUUUAUCAUAUUUUCAUUUGUCUUAGCAUCUCUGUGCUGUUUUACUUAUGUACACCUCUCCAGGUGACAGUUACGCUAAAUUGGAGUCACCUUCUGUUUCAUAAAUGGCUAAAAUGGCUUUUUAACAAGAAACUUGACCAGGGUGUUGGAUUCAAGCAUGUUGCUCUAGAAUGAAAUGUUGGAAUACACUUUUGGGGAAAUCCAAAAUUAACCAAUUGUAUAUGCAUUUAUCUUGGUGAGACAAUAGAGUACAUGAUUAAGUUAUGGCCUAUGUAUUUUAGUGAAAAGUUUGUGCUUGUGUAUAUAUAUGUGUAUAUGUGUGGGGGUAUAUGCGUAUGUAUGUGUAUGUAUGUAUAUAUAUAUGUGUGUGUGUGUGUGUGUGUGUAUGUAUAUGUAUGUGUAUACACACACACAUACAAUGCCAUCUUUCCACGGGCCAGACAAAGCCUUGACAUUUCCCAGUGGAGAAGGGAAGAACAUCCUUUGGGUGGGUUUCUCCUCUCACUUGCUCCAGUAGCAGGAAAAAUAGUUGAAUGCUGAGUGAUUUCACCACAGAGUUCUUGAUUUGCACUGUUUAAUCUACAGACGCCAUGAUGUUAGUUUCAUGACAUAUGGGUGAAAUAUAACCAAGAGGCUAUUAUAUGCAACUUUACAUGUAAUACAUAAGCAAUUCUGCACUUGAGGCAGUUUAUACAGUGCAUGGAUGAAAGAUUUCUGCUGUAGAUCUGCUAAUUUUCUGGUUUAAAUUAAAAUCUUUGUUUAUUUGAGUGCAA